UUUGAUUUUGGUUUUUACAGAUAUUUUGCCCCGGGAUUUCCUCUCCCCGGACUUACAGGGGGUUGCUUCAAAGUACCUGAAUGUUCUCCACUUGACCAAGGCGGUGGAAAAUACCGUUUUGGGGUAUUAGGAACAGAACUGGGGCAGUGAUAAAACAAUAUUUAGCCCAACAGUCAAAGGAGGAAGUUCUGUUGCAGAGGCGCAGGACGAGGCACCGCUGUCUACACUGUGGUUUUCGGUCACCAGCCCGCAUUUUCACAGUCACACGUGCUCCUGACGCCGUCUCUCCAGCCCGCUGUGCUCGCGCCAGGCCUAGGAGACUGCCAGCUCGGCACAGCGGAGGAAGCCCUGGGCGUUGGCCCCUCGCCUCGGGCUGACCCGCCCCUGAAGCGGGAGCCGAGCUGAGGCGCCCGGCGCGGAAUCGCGGCUGACAACUACCGCGGAGCCCAGAGCCCUCGGUGCCUCGGCGCCCGUCUGUGGUCAGCAGCCUGUUCGCGGAGGGCCUGGGCGCCGGCCCACACACGGCCAGGAGGAGGAGGCCGAUGGGGGCACCUGGCCGGGGACCCUAAAAAGUGCUGGCGGCGGUGUGUUUCUUGCCUUCUCGGUCUCACACCCGGAGACCUGCGCUGCCUGACAGCAAUUCAGCAGCGAGUGAAGUUUUUCCCUGAUAAGGUACCCAAGCUGCUUAUGCUUCCCCUUAUUUUGGUCAUCUUGGUUGAGGAGAUCAAGACUUCUACAACACCUGGAAAAGGAUUUGGCACAAGUGCCAGGAAGCAACUGGGCCUCUACAGGACAGCAGAGGAGUAAGUUAACCAAAGCCCCCAAACUGAAAGCACAUCUCUCUUGCGGAUGUGACUGGCCUCUGUAAAAUAAUGAAAUAAUGAAAGCCCUGGCCACAAGGACCAAGCAUCAGCGACCUGUGAGUAAAUGAAACAACUCCUGCGACCCUUCUGAGGUGGGAUGGGAUGAAGGAGACUGCCAAAGUCACAGUCAUAUGAAUUGGCAUGUCAGGACUUCUGGCCCAAAGUGUCUGGGAUUUUCCAGGUAGGUCUUUUAUCUCAUCUUCAGGCAAAUGUCUUCUCAGGACUUCCCAGGACUCUGCCAAAGAGGAGAAUCCCAAACGAAGAGGUUAUGGCUGUUCUGGACUUAUCAGUUUUGCCUUUUUUCUGUUUCUGAGCAGCUGUUUUGGUUUUCACUGACUAAUACAGAAGUUUGUAAGGAAAAGACUGAAGUCUGUUCUUAUCCCUUCAGUCCCACCCCCAGAAAUAACCAGUGUUGGCAAGUUUGGCAUAUGACUUUAGGAUUUUGUAUAGCUUGUGUGUGUGUAUGUGUGUGUGUGUGUGUGUAUAUGCAUGUGCAUGCAGGCACACACAUGUGAGAAAUAAUGUGAAUAGGUAGAUGCACCUUGUUCUUCAAAUGAUUGUAUAUUGCAUCAUAUAGUUGUACCAUAAUUUAUUAGUUCAUUCCUCUUUUGAUUGGUGACUUUUAUACAUAGUGCUACAGCAAGAAAUUUUGCAUAGAUAUUCUACAAACUUGUAUUCAUGCUAAAGAUUCAGAUAGAUUCCUCUAAAAUGCCCUUCAGAAGAUAGUACAGCUUAUAUUCUGACCACUAGUGAAUGAGAAAGAAAACUUUUAAAGGGCAAUAUUAGAUGCCAUCAAGCUUCUGCAUUUUGCCAGGCACAUCUUGGUGAGAAAAGGUAUCAUAGUGUUUUAAUUAUUUAUUUCUUUAAUGAAUAAUGAAAAUAAGCAUAUUUUCAUAUUUAUUAGACUAUGCACAAGAGGUCUCUAGAACAAUAAGGAAAAGAUAGACAGAUGAUAGGUGAUAGAUAAUGAUGAUAGAUGAUAGAUAGAU